UACGUAGGGGGCAAGCGUUGUCCGGAUUUAUUGGGCGUAAAGCGCUCGCAGGUGGUUCGUUGCGUCGUGCGUGAAAGACCCCGGCUCAACUGGGGAGGGUCGUGCGAUACGGGCGAACUGGAGGCCAGUAGGGGGAUGCGGAAUUCCGGGUGUAGUGGUGGAAUGCGUAGAGAUCCGGAGGAACACCAGCGGCGAAGGCGGCAUCCUGGACUGGUCCUGACACUCAGGAGCGAAAGCCAGGGGAGCGAACGGG
rnacentral:rRNA from 1 species